rnacentral:rRNA from 1 species
CGGAUGGGUAAAUCCUCUGUGAAAUCGCAGCGCUUAACGUUGCGGCAUGCAGGGGAAACUGCCUGUCUCGAGACCGGGAAGGGUCAGAGGUAUGCCGUGGGGACUGGUAAAAUGGUAUAAUCCACGGUAGACCACCAAUGGCGAAGGCAUCUGACCGGAACGGAUCUGACGGUGAGGGACGAAAGCUGGGGGAGCGAACCGGAUUAGAUACCCGAGUAGUCCCAGCCGUAAACGCUGUGAGCUAGGUGUCGCCCAUCCCAUGAGGAUGGCGGUUGUCGAAACGAAGGUGCUAAGCUCACCGCCCGGGAAGUACGGUCGCAAGAUGAAACUUUAAGGAAUUGGCGGGGGAGCACUACAAGGGGUGCGGCGUGCGGUUUAAUUUAACUCAACGCAGAGAACCUCACUAGGAGCGACGGCAGGAUGAAGGCCAGGCUGAAGACCUUGCCCGACGAGCCGAGAGGUAGUGCAUGGCCGUCGUCAGCUCGUGCCGUAAGUGUCCAGCUAAGUCUGGUAACGAGCGAGACCUGUGCCCGCAGUUGCUACCGACACAUGUGGAUCGAGCACACUGCGGGGACUGCAUUCGUAAGAGCGAGGAAGGUGCAGGCAACGGUAGGUCUGUAUGCUCCGAAUCUCCUAGGCUACAC